CGCAGCUCUGACAAGGCCACUGUCAACUUCCAGAGAGCUCUGGAGCGUGUGUUGCCGUCGCAGAGCCUGGCCCUGUGUGUAACCUCACUUGGUUACCAGGCACGGGUUGCUCCAGAAGGUGGUGACCUCAGUGGUGGAGCUGCCCUACGGCUGAAGCCGACCUCAAAGGAGCUGGCAACUGGAAGCUCUCAACCUGCAGCUCCUCAGCAGUCCUUCCUGGCAGGGCAGCCUAGCUCGUGCAGCUCCCAGUCCAUCACAGUUGGAGCUGCUGUGUGUGAGCUGCUGAGGUCCGCGGCCAAGCAUGCUGUGGUUGGAUCUGCCCAGCCGGGGAACAGAAAUAUUUGCUGGAUGGAAAAUCCAUAAAAGAAAGCUCCUGUGAAAACCAGAGACAGACGAUAACCUAAGCAAAAUCAGGUCGGUAUAAGUUAAAACAGGCUGGAUAAAGUAGGUUGGGUUGUAUCGGAAAAAGCAGUUGUAUUAAUUUUAUGAAGUGUCUUUGAAGCAGCCCCCACC
rnacentral:lncRNA from 1 species